rnacentral:tRNA from 1 species
UCCCUGGUGGCUGAGCUGGUAAAGAAUCUGCCUGCAAUGCAGGAGACCUGGGUUUAAUUCCCAGGUUGAGAA